rnacentral:rRNA from 1 species
GACGAACGCUGGCGGCAUGCCUAACACAUGCAAGUCGAACGAGACCUUCGGGUCUAGUGGCGCACGGGUGCGUAACGCGUGGGAAUCUGCCCUUGGGUUCGGAAUAACUCGCCGAAAGGCGUGCUAAUACCGGAUGGUGUCGUAAGACCGAAGAUUUAUCGCCCAGGGAUGAGCCCGCGUAAGAUUAGGUAGUUGGUGAGGUAAAGGCUCACCUAGGCGACGAUCCCUAGCUGGUCUGAGAGGAUGACCAGCCACACUGGAACUGAGACACGGUCCAG